rnacentral:rRNA from 1 species
UGGGGAAUCUUGCGCAAUGGACGAAAGUCUGACGCAGCCACGCCGCGUGAGUGAAGAAGGCCUUCGGGUUGUAAAGCUCUGUCGGAGGGGACGAACAUGCUUACGGUGAAUAGCCGUAGGCACUGACGGUACCCUCAAAGGAAGCACCGGCUAACUUCGUGCCAGCAGCCGCGGUAAUACGAGGGGUGCAAGCGUUGCUCGGAAUUAUUGGGCGUAAAGGGUAGGUAGGUGGUCUCAUUUGUGUGGGGUGAAAGCCUUGGGCUUAACUCAAGAAGUGCCCCGCAAACGGUGAGACUCGAGUCUUGGAGAGGUGAGCGGAAUUCCCGGUGUAGCGGUGAAAUGCGUAGAGAUCGGGAGGAACACCAGAGGCGAAGGCGGCUCACUGGACAAGUACUGACACUCAACUACGAAAGCGUGGGGAGCAAACAGG